AACCCUGCCAAGGGAGGCUCUAAGUCCUGUGGAAGUAAAUGAAGUUCUUCAUUCCUUUUCUACCAAUUAACUUCUAUAUGGACGUUUCACUGGCACAAGAUUUUUCUUCCCUGACUAAAAGCAUGCCUGAAAUUGUUUUCAUGCUCAUUGUGGGUGAACUCCAGUCUUCAUGAUUGCAAACCAAAUACUUGGAUAAUUGAGUCUUCUUGCUAGCAAAAUGAUACAGGCUAGUGGCCUACACUUGGUCAGUAACCAGGAAUGAUGAGAUGUACUGCACCAUCACAGGUUUCUAAGAAGCAGAUAGAUUAUACUUAAUUGGAUAUUCAACAUCUCUAUUCAGGAUUCUACCACAUGAAGAAAGGAAAGGAAACAAUAAGGACCCAUCCUAAUUUGUUAUCAUCACCUUGUAUUUUUUAAUAAAUAAAAACCUAACCCAAAAA